rnacentral:lncRNA from 1 species
AACUCUAAACAAGAUUUUGACGAAAAUAGGUUUUAACUUGACUCAAAACACUUAAAAACACAAACUAACACACUUUCUAACUAAUUUGACACUUGAAAACAAAGGGGGAUUUGGUUUUUACGAAAUUGAAAACAAAAUAUAAACUUGUAAAUCAAAACAGAUUUUAAAACGAAUUUGGUUUAAAUGAAUGGAUGGAAAGCUAGUUAAGGGGUUCAUCUCCACACAUGUUAUACUUGCAUUCAAAACGAUUUCCAAUUGCUUUUCAAUAACCCAUGAAUUCUCAACGCCCCAAGUUAAUUAGGUCCGCUUAAAUUAACCUUCAAUUUUCCUAACGUUAUUGAAUUGGAUGAUUGCAUACGACAACCCAAAGCAUUCCCCACAAGUCCCCUACAUGAUUGCAUAAUAGAGAUACAAGCAAGAAUCAUUAAGUUCUAUGAAAACCAUAAGCAUUGACGAAGCACUUGUUACUAUGAUUGCAUGAAACUUAUGCCAAGAAUUUACUUAACGCGAUUGAGAUCAUCAACCUUUACUACUUGUGAAUAUAAGUCCAUAACGAUUAGGUGAAAUUUCCUCAUAUCCUAGCAUUCAAUUUAUGCAUGAUAAUUAAGCGUGCACUCUCAACCAACACACACAAAUCAAUGUAAUUCUCAUAGAUAAGUAAAUUGAAUUCACAACUUAUGAAACGCAAUUAGAAGUAAUCAAAUCAUAUCGCAAGCAUAAACAUGUAUUUCGAAUCCCCCCCUAGCCAAAGGGGAGUUUAGUUCCUCAUACACACAAAACAAAGAGAAUUGAAUUUAAACAUUGAAAUCAAAGGAAAAGAAACACCUAGAAAUUCCAGCGACGCGAACUUGAAUUGCAUGAACUUCCAAGCUUCCUUCUCCUCCUCCUUGGUGCGGCAAAGGGUUUAGGGACAGGUUUAGGGCCUUAGGUGUAUGGAUGAAUGGUUAUGGAAGGAUGUAGUAGUGUUUAGGGGAAGGGGAUGGUGCGGCAAGAACUUAAAAACUAGGGAGAAGGGUGUUUGGUGGUUGCGGCAAAGGUGUGGAGAGGUUUGGGCGAAUUUCUGAAUUUGUGGAGUGAAUUAUGAAUGUGAGAGGUGGUGAAUUCGGCCAAGGGGGUUUAUGAGUAUUUAUAGGCACUUAAAAACCCUAGGUAAAUCAGAUAUGGACUUGAAUAACCCAAAUCCACAAGGAAAGAGGCUUAAAAAUCAGAUUUAAAAGGGGAAAAGACUUCCUAGGUGCGGCAGGUUUAGAUAAGGUAAGAUAAGGCUUCUAGAAAGCCUUGCAAGGCAAGGAAAUAGGUUCUAGAUAAGGUUAUGCACGGCAAGGAAGGAUAGGGUUUCUAGAAACCCUCCAAAACAAGGGAAAAUGCACGGCAUACUUCUAAGACAAGGAUAAGGUGUCCUAAAGUGUUUGGGACUCCUCUUUCUUCUUGGAAACCUUCUCCUUCUUCAACUUGGAAUACUUCUUUGUUGCUGAAAAUCAAGGCCAAUUAGGGUUCACUUUCCCACUUCAAGUAGGAAACCUUGUUUGAGUAGGAAACUUC